UACGAAGGGGGCUAGCGUUGCUCGGAAUCACUGGGCGUAAAGGGCGCGUAGGCGGCGUCUUAAGUCGGGGGUGAAAGCCUGUGGCUCAACCACAGAAUGGCCUUCGAUACUGGGAUGCUUGAGUCUGGUAGAGGUUGGUGGAACUGCGAGUGUAGAGGUGAAAUUCGUAGAUAUUCGCAAGAACACCAGUGGCGAAGGCGGCUCACUGGCCCGGUACUGACGCUGAGGUGCGAAAGCGUGGGGAGCAAACAGG
rnacentral:rRNA from 1 species